rnacentral:miRNA from 1 species
AUGUCAUCCUCCAGCACCACG